CACCCCAUCCUAAUUAAUCAUACAGUCCGGUUGUCUUGCAUAACCCGGGGAGAGUACAUAUCAGAAUGACUAAAAGUCAGUUAAAAGACUUGUGACAGUGAAUUUUUUUUUUCCCCAACAGAGACCCAUAAAGAAUACACCUCAUCUUUAGAUCAUAUGCAUCUCAUCCUGAAAUGCCUUUCUCAUAGAAUAUACUCAUUCCUUCCACAUCUGAAAUAGAUCGCUACACUUUUCUUCUUGUUCCCUUUUUUCUUUUCUCUUUUGCAACUCCUGGCAAUAACAGAAACCGUGCUCUCUCUACUUGACAUCUGGCUGUACUCCCAGAGCUCCCACUCCCGUGUGGCACAUCUUUGUGCUUGCUCUGGGUGCUGCAGCGCCCAGCAUAUUGUUGGCCAGAGGUCCUGAAAGGAGCUGGAGUGGUGAAGGAUGAAGAGACGGCAAUGCAUGGGUUUAGAGGAGCCUCCCAGCAGGACCAUCCCUGCGCUCUCUCUAACCUUGCAUAGGAAAAAUGAGGAGCAUGACUGGGUCUGUGGAAGCAGGGUAAGACGUUGCUUGCAUGUCUCCCUGGGAUCUGAGUUUGACCUCUUCUGGAGAGAGGAGUAUUUCAUGAGGAUUUCAUCACUGCCCACCUUAGCUAAAUUUCAAGUCAGCGAGCAUUAUGGAAGUAGUGGGAGGGAAAGAAGGAAGAAACCUGUCACACCAGAGAUUUGGCUUCUUGGAUGUGUUAGCUGGCACCCACAGAUCCACUGUGAAGGAGCUAAACUCAUCAUUAGCCUAAUCUAUGACAUGUGGUAUUCUGCUUAAAAUAAACUUGUUUUCAUGUCUCUACAUUUCAAUUUUCUUCUCUAUUAGGUUUCUAUGGUAUCUUAUUGUAUUCACUCUUUGUAUUACAAAGUCUUUUGUGGAGAAAAAUUAAAAGGCUGUGAAUAUUGUUAACAAAAGGGAAAACGAUGAAGUAUGAGAUCUCACGUUUAUUGAGCACUUGCCACGUGUAAGGUAUUUUAGUUUAUUUUUUUUUUGCUGAGGAGGAUUAGCCCUGAGCUAACCUCUGUUGCCAAUCUUCCUCCACUUUGUAUGUGGGAUGCCUCCACAGCAUGGCUGAUGAGUGGAGUAGGUCUGUGUCCAAGAUCCAAACCCCUGAACCCAGGCCACCGCACACGGAACUUUAACCAGCCACAGGGCUGGCCCCCACAUGUGAGGUAUUUUCCUAACUGCUUCACAGUAUUCUAGCGUUGACUAGUUACAACAGCCUUACAAGGUGGGCAGUAUUAUCAUUCCCAUUUGACAGAUGUGGAAACAGAAGUGCAGAGAAGUUAAGUAAUGUGUGCAGGGUUGUGGAGUGAGGAGAAGCAUAGGGUCUGAACUUCUUAACGAGUUCUGUUAACAUUACUAUCCUGAUUCAUUAACAUGUCCUCUCCAACAAAUUCAAAGAUGCUCCCAGAGCAGGUACUUGGGUUUAUUACUAGUACAUAGUGAGAACUGACCUUAGUCAAUAACUCAGCCACAUUCUCUAAUUGCAUUUUUUUUUUUAAACAUGAGCCACAUAUUUCUAUUCUUCCAAAGUGGUAUUUUAUUUUUUUAUUAUUUUUUUAAUUGCAGUAACAUUGGAUUAUAACAAUAUAUAGCUUUCAGAUGUACAUCAUGAAAGUGGUGUUUUAAAAUACCACUUAAAUAUAGUUAACUGUGCUUGUUGCAUUUAAAUUAUAGCACGAUUCUUUCCUGGGAAUAUAAAUUCAGAAAUACGAUGUGAGGAUGACAGAAGUCUCAGGCUAGAAUGCAAUAACAUGAUUAAGCUCUGUUUAAAUACUUGUUUCACUGUUAGGUUUGAGUGUCCAGUUUACACUACAUGCAUAUGCAAGAUGGCUGCAUCUUAGGCAAUCUUCUCUUUGUCCAUACUGGAACACAUAAACUUUUAAGGAUGUAGAUGAAAUGGUCAAGGAUUUUUUUUUUCUGCUUUCAUGUUUUAUGAAGCAAUUCAAAAUUCUUUGAUGUAGAAAAUCCAAAAUCCAUGAACUAAAUUGUUUACUUGAACCUGUGGUAAGUAUUUUUGUCAUCCCAAGAACCACUUCAAGUUUUCUUACAUAUUCUCAGAGGACACAUUCUUCAUUUCAAUCUGUGUUGUUUGAGAUAUCACUAGAAAUUUUAUCCUAAGCCAGGAAUACUUUCAAAAAUCAUUUGCAUAACACUAGCACAAUAAUUUCAGUCGUUGUGUAAAUCUGGACUUUUUACCUUCACCCACUUGACCAUAUUGCAUUUUAAAAUAAUACUUGAAAGGCUUGUUUACAGUGAUAAACAAAACCUACCACUGUGAAAUAUACCAUAGGAAUAACCACUACAUGACACUAAAUUUCUUUAUUUUUAAAGAUUUUUUUAGGUGAUUUCUAUAAACGUCUCCAACUAACAUUGAUUCAGGUUGUUUUAGGGUACUAAUACGUCUUGAUAAAUAAAUGACAAGCAGUAGGUUAUAUUAGAGUAUAUGAGGAAGCCAUUUUGGCCUGACUUUGUUUUUCCAGAAAGGCCUGAUGUGGCCUGUGGAGCAUGAAUUGUACAUCUGCUUUAAACAUUUACAAUGUCUCAAAGACAAGAAUGAUGCCCUUAAAGAUAGGGAUGUUGCUUCCCCCCAUAGCGACAUUUCCUUAAAGAUAAGCAUCUUUCCCUGGAAACUAGGGAUUGACUACUGACCUGCUGUGCUAGCAAAGCAAGCUCAUGACUGCUGUAAAAGGGACGUUCCCGUCAUAUGUGAUGUGUGCUCUUUGUUCCAAGACCGUAUAUAACUGCUCUGUACACCCUACUUCUUUGGUGCCCUUCCUUCCUUGAUGAAGGAAGCCCUCUGGGCUAUAGUCCUCAGACCUAGCUCAUAAUAAAUUCACCCCAAAUUUUGAUUUAUAGCUUGAUUAUGGAUUAUUUGCAUCAACAGUCUUCUAACAGUUCUUUGUAGCUAUAGUAAAGUAGUUAAAGUAAUUGAUAAAGCCUAACCACAAUUAGAAACACUAUAUAAGGAUGCACUAUAAAACCCCUUCAACUAUGACUUUCAUGCUACUUGAAUGUUAAGUACAACAUGACCUGCCCAUCCAUUAGGGUUGAAGCAGAACCCUUCAUGCAAAACCAGAGUGUGAUGGAUAAGGAGUCCCCUGAAGCCAAAACCGCUUCUACCUUUUCUUUCUGUAGUUGGGCACAAAUUCAAGGGCAAACAGCAAGAAAUAAGAAAGAAGUUGGAGGACAGAGAGAGAGACAGACAGACAGAGAGAGACAGAGAGAGAAUGAACUUGUACAUAUUCAUUGACUCAGAGGUACCCCAGGCUCUGCUGCCCUCCUUCCUUCUUCCUCCAUGUUCCUUCCAGGGAGCAGCAGUUGGAACUCUGCUCCCUCCUGUAUACUCCCAGGUUUCCUGUUUAGCUGGUUGACAUCUUGAUUCUUUUUCUUUUCAAGGCAGGUCUGCCUUGAUGUCAGUAUAAAAAAUAUUGUACAUUAAAGUAUGACAGACAUUUACGGUACACAAAUCUUAGGUCUACAACUCAAUGAAUUUUACAUAUAUAUCACCUGAAUAGCCGCCACUCAGAUGAAGAUGUCACUUUCCGACAUUGCUUCCUGGUCAAUACCCCCAGGUAACUAUUAUCCUGGCAUCUAUCACUACGGUUUAGUUUUGCCUGCUUGUGAAUGCUGUCAUAUUUCUUUGUAAAUUUGGUUGCAAAUAUUAUACUACACAGUCUGUUGUGUCUGAAUUCUUUCAUUUGUGCUUCUUUGUGAGAUUUAUCCUUGUUGUUGCCUGCUGUUUAUUCUCAUUUUCGCAUAGUAUUUCAUUGCACAAUUUUACCACAAUCUAUCCUUUCUUCUUUUGAUGGGCAUUUAGGUUGUUUCCAGUUUCUGGCUAUUACCGAAAAAGCGCCUAUGAACAUUCUUGUACUUGUCUUUUGAUAGAUAUAAACACUCAUUUCUUUUGGAUAUAUACCCAGGAAUGAAACUGCUGGGUUGUAAGGUAUGCGUAUGUUUAGCUCUAGUGAGUUCUCCAAAUAUUUUUGCAAAGUGGUUGUGCCAUUUUACAUUCUCACCAUCAGUUUUGAGAGUUCUAGUUUCUCCACAUUUUUGUUAACAUUCGGUUUUGUCAGUCAUUAAGCUUUUCCAGUCCUUGUAUAGAGUGGUAUCGUUCUAGUUUUAAUUUGCAUUUCUCUGGUGAAUAAUAAGGGAGAGCACAUCUGUUUGGGAAUGUUUGUGAAAGGGGAUUGGGGCAUGAUGCAGCAUAUACCAUCUUUAAGAUCCUCAGAAAGAGUCUGUCUGUGAUUUCCUGGAGGCGAGCUUUCCGGUGUGGCCACAUUUUCAGAGGGAUUUGGAAUAGACUAACAUGCAAACCUAAAUAGUAAAUAGGUGGCUUUCAUGAUGCGAACAGAGCUAGGGUUUUGGUGGUACGUUGUCCCCUUAAGAUUUUCUGGUAUAAGGGAUAUAAGCUUAGCCGAAACCAAAGAGAAUUUUAAGUAUUAGUUCCUUGGAUUCAAAUAGGAUAAUUUUAUUAUAAUUAUGCUUUAUUACACAGACUGUUCCAGGGUACAAUCCAUAAUACUGCCCUAGUAAGAAAUAUCACAUCAGGCCACAUAUAUGCUAUUUAGUAAGGUCCACUGAAUCUUGAUUCAAAAAUGAGAAUAACAUUUUUAAUUUUAUGAGAAAAUGCUCUUUGGCAUGUAAAACUGAGUUAAACUGUUGGUGAAUGGCUUACCCAAAGGUGGCACCAAUAUCUGCAUAAACUUUUUGGAUUCUUAGCCUAGGGUCCAAGUUACUGCUAGGAGGUAGUGACGCAGCAUUUAAAAUUCUUAAUGAGACUUUGAUACCUAUCCACGUUCUUUUUGUGCCAAAGAAAGCAUAGUAAGUUUUGUUCUCAUUCUGUUCCACCUUAAACUCACUCUAUUCUCUCAAAGAAGCAGGACAGAGGACUUGUGUGCGUGCCAGCUUUGGAAACGAUGGCACUAGUUUUGCAAUCUUGAAUGAGUGGCUUAACUUUCAAAGCCUGAGUUUCCUCACUUGUGCAAUAAUAACUACCCCGUGUUGUUGUGAGGAUUAAAUGAGCUAAUGUUUAAAAAUAACAUAGCAUAACUUUUUUGCAUGAAAUAAUCAGAUUGGAGGUGGAUGUAUUGAAGUUGUCUGACAUGAGAAAAUUAGUUGUCAUUUCUGUCAGAGGUGGAUUUAAAAUGACGUUUAAGCAGCGACCCCUCACAAACAUGCUCCAAAUAAGAUAUUUUAGCUACAGUUGGCUGCGAUCACUUUCUUUUCUCAUUUUGAUUUCCUCUUGAUCACAUAUGCCAUUGCAUCAACUGGCAUUGAAGGGCUGCAGGCAUUUUUGGGUUUCAGGUGUGGGAGAGUUGAGUUGGAAAUAUGUUUAGCUUGGGUUUAUGGGGCGUAUUUGACUCACACUUCUACAUACUUCUACAGCUGAGUUACUGCUGGUGGUCUCGGUGUUGGAAUGGCGUCUAGAAAAACUCCAGCUGCCCAGUGUGAUAUGUGCAGGUUUAAAGCCAUAGGUGUGGUCAAGCUGCUGAAGAUGCGGACGGCAUCCAGCAUCAGAAGAAGUAAAUCUCCCACGUGAAAGGUACCCUUCCUGCUCCAGGACACCGAGGCACCCUAUCAACAGUGAUAAGGAAUUCAGGGCCAAAAAAUGAUAUAUCAACAAACCUUGUUACUCUUAUUAAUUUACUACCUCAAGCCUAAACUCUGCUUGUAUUCCUCAGUAAUUACAUACCCCAAACCUAAGUUUCUUUGUUCAAAUCGUCACAAAGUUAUUGUUUCUUUGUGGAAAAGAUAUAAAAGCAGCUUGCUUUGCCAAUCUUGGAGAGCAUUAGUUUUACGAUCUCCCAUACGUAUGUAUUAAAUUGGCUUUUCUCCUGUUAAUCUGGUCUUUUGUCAAUUUUAUUAUUAGUCCAGCCACAAGAACUCGAGAGGUGGGGGAGAAUUUCCACCUCCCUGACACAGUAUAAUCACACAGAAGACUUUGAGUCUAUAGGUUCUUGACCAUGCAUAACGAGAUGACUAACCAUACUGCAGAUAAAGUGGCCAUGCCCCAGAAUUAAAUUGCAAGAAAGUACAACAGUAUCAUCAUAGCUACUUUAUAGGUAAAGAAACUGAGGCAUAAGGAAGUCCAGCUGACUUAUCAAGAACACAGUGAUUGGGAUUAAACCCAACAAACUAGUGAAUUAACUAAACUCUAUAACUC
rnacentral:lncRNA from 1 species